rnacentral:rRNA from 1 species
UACAGAGGGGGCAAGCGUUGUUCGGAAUUACUGGGCGUAAAGGGCGCGUAGGCGGCCUUCUAAGUCAGACGUGAAAUCCCUCGGCUCAACCGGGGAACUGCGUCUGAGACUGGAAGGCUUGAAUCCGGGAGAGGGAUGUGGAAUUCCAGGUGUAGCGGUGAAAUGCGUAGAUAUCUGGAGGAACACCGGUGGCGAAGGCGGCAUCCUGGACCGACACUGACGCUGAGGCGCGAAAGCCAGGGGAGCAAACGGG